rnacentral:lncRNA from 1 species
AGAAACACAGAAAAAAGCUUUGCAAAAAUUUUAGGCAACAAAAGCACUAUUUCAUCGAAUUUUCUAAAGAUUGAUCUCAAAGUUAACAAAAUCCAGCAAAAGUAAAAGAAACAAACACUGUUUUAUUAGAUUUUUACUGAUUUUAUCCCUUUUUUCUUUCUAAUUUCUGAAAAUCUCCUGGGUUCAUACAAGUGAUAAAAGGUUUAGAUCUGUCCUUCAAAAGCUUUUGGUUUAAAAUUGUUGAGCUGUUUGGUUGUUCAUCUUGUGAAAACUUGGAUCCUUCCUGGGUUAGAGUGGUUUGGAUUGUUGAGUACUGCUGAAUCUUUUUUGCCGUCUCACUAUUUUCUAUUUACUUUGUCCAAUUUCCAGGUAUUCUUUUAAGCUCAUACUUUAGGAUUACUCUCUGCAAAUGUAAAAGAUUUGACAUUCAUGCUAAAUGAAGAGAAUGCUGGAGUUGAAGUAUUCUGAUGUUAUUGUCGUGUUAUAUCACAUCCUUGAAACGGAAGUAGAGCAAUGCAUAUUGAUUUAGGUUUUGUGUAUUGACUUAAAAAUGUAUGAAGCACUGUAUAUUGGACUGUUUGAGAC